rnacentral:rRNA from 1 species
UACGUAGGGUGCAAGCGUUGUCCGGAAUUAUUGGGCGUAAAGGGCUCGUAGGCGGUCCAUCGCGUCGGGAGUGAAAAGCUGGGGCUUAACCCCAGUCCUGCUUCCGAUACGGGUGGACUAGAGGUAGGUAGGGGAGAUCGGAAUUCCUGGUGUAGCGGUGAAAUGCGCAGAUAUCAGGAGGAACACCCGUGGCGAAGGCGGCUCUCUGGGACGGUACUGACGCUGAGACGCGAAAGCGUGGGGAGCGAACAGG